rnacentral:antisense_RNA from 1 species
UGAUGGCGCGCACGGAGACCGUCGAUUCCUGCUCAUCCAGCAGGUCGGCCUCGCCAAAAUACUCGCCGUCGCCCAGCAAGGCAAUCCGAAGGUCUUCGCCGUGCGGUCCCUUGCUGAUGACCUCCGCCUGUCCGCUGGCCACGAUGAAGAAGCGCUGCUUGUCCUUGCCUUCUUCGACGAACAGGUCAUCGACAGCGACUUCCUGAGCCUCGAAUGCACUGACCAGGCGGUCCAGCGUCCCGUCGUCGAACUCCGAGAAAAGCGGGAUCGCCUUCAGGUUCCUGGCCGUGAACGAAGGCACGCCAUUGAUGUACUGGAUGGGCAGUCGAUCGUUCUUGCGAAGCUCCACCUUCGUGCGGUUCACACGGAAAGUGCCGCCCGACACCUGCACCCAGGGCAGGAGCUUCAACAGGAGCCUGGGGGUGAUGGAGCCCAUCUGCGGGGCGGUCUUGGUCGUUGUCGCCAGCCUUCUGGCGGUGGCAGUGGUCA